GACGUUGGCCCAAUGGCAAGGCGUCUGACUACGAUUAMRUAYGUUAUCAGGAGAUUCUGGGUUCGACCCCCAGGCUGGUCA
rnacentral:tRNA from 1 species